rnacentral:lncRNA from 1 species
CCUCCUCCCCUCCCUCCCUAGUCCUCAGCAUGCAGCUCUCUGGCUGAAUCCCAUCACCGCUCCAAUUUCCCCUUCACCCGGGCAGCCCCGCACUGAACAGAAACUCCGCAGAAUGGCCCCAUUGUAGACCAGACAAACCAAAAUAGCAGCAUCUUCUGUUCUCCGCCUUAGAGAGAUUCACUUAAAAUCCCGAAGUCCCAGAUGUGGACGACAAUGGAAGCUGUUGUUGCAAAUUAGUGAUCCUGGAACAGCUGAGAGAGCACUUUCUAUCUCUUUUUCAGAAAAAUCCCAAGGAACAAUUGUUUUGGAUUACUUAGUGGACUCAGCAUGGAAACUGCUUGUGUGGCCCAGCUAGGUAGGGGCGUUCAGACAAGGAGACCUGACCUGGAGCCUCUGGGAUGAUUCCAAGGAAGAAGAAUCCUGGCCUAAUGAACUCCUCAAGCUCUCUUCUUUGGGAAAUAGGAAGAUCACAAUUUGAAAUCUUAAUACGAGGCUUUUAGGCUCCUUAUCAACACAAGAAUGGACAUCAAGUUACUUACAUAUUGGGCCAAAAUAUUGAGUGCAGAUGAAAAUAAAUGCUGACUUUGAAGAUUUCCCAUCCAGCCCGCAGAAAUUCCCCUGGCCUGCCACACUUGGGUAACUUGAGUUCUGGAAUUCCAGACGUGGUUAACCCCAAUCCACAAAUUUGCUGGAGUUAUGAAGCUGAGUGAGAGUACUGCUUUUCUAUUAUGCAUUCCCAAUAUGUUCUGUUCUGAGCUGACACCACAGAAUUUACUUCUCCCACAAGUUUAACCCACUGCAUGGAGUGAUCAUGGCUCACUGUUUUUUGGUAAAUACCAAAAUACAGAUAACAGUUUUUCACAGUACAAAUUUUAUAUCUGACUUGGCUGGAAACUUCCCCAGUCACUCCGUCUAGUUGCCUCAUUUUGUUGGGCCUUGGUUUCUUUCAGUUUCCUACUAAAACUUACCUCUUUGGGGAGGCAUGAGUAUCAAUGCUUGGCUACCAAUCCAGGUAAGGCCUCUGAAUGAAAGGUGAUAUGGAAGGGCACAAACGAUCUGGAUACCUAUCCCCUGGGAAAGUCCAGGCCUCAGGCCACAGCAAUGCCACAGCUUCUGGAAGCUGCCUGGGAACUGAGGUUUUAUUCUCCUGUGUGUGUCUACAUGCCUGGAGUGUUGACUCUGGAGACCUAUGAAUACAGUAAAUGACAUCAUAGGUAGCUCAGGUCAAUGAAGAUUUAUUUUUAGCUAUGACCCUUGUCUGUUAAAUGAUCUGAAUUUAAAAAGAAAGAGGACACGGAAGAAGGAAAAGAAAUGUGAAAGGCAAUGAAAGAAUGUAAGAUUCCUGCUUGAUCUUAAAAAGCACUAGAGCAAAAGUCAAGCACAGCUUUCUUAUUUCUUUUCAACCAGAAGGGUGUUACAGGAGAAAUGUAUGAAGGGCGGAGGAUAUGCCCUCUUGUGAGAAUUCUGUCUCUUCCCUGCAGUUACUCAUUUUGAGAAUGUGGCUCCCAGUGUCUACAGUGGAGGUGGGCUC